AUGGAGAGGGAAGCCACGGUCGCCUUCUACCCGCCGGCGCCGGCGCCGCAGCAGCAGCGCCCCACGGCCGCGCAGCCGCUCUCGGCCCGCGCGCCUUCGUCCGGCGGCGGCGUCCCCGCGGGGCGGGGAGGCGGGGGCAGGCAGUACCGCGGGGUGCGGAUGCGCAAGUGGGGCAAGUGGGUGGCCGAGAUCCGGGAGCCCAACAAGCGGUCGCGGAUCUGGCUCGGCUCCUACGCCACCGCCGUCGCCGCCGCGCGCGCCUACGACACCGCCGUCUUCUACCUCCGCGGCCGCUCCGCGCGCCUCAACUUCCCCGACCAGCUCCUCGACGGCGCCCCCGCCGCCGCCGCGCCCGGGGACCUCACCGCCGCCGCCAUCCGCAAGAAGGCCGCCGAGGUCGGCGCGCGCGUCGACGCGCUCCACUCCGGCGGGAUCGGCGUCGGCAUCGGCAUGGGCGGCGCCCCCCCGGCCCCGCCGUCGCCGUCCCAGCGCCGCCGGGCCAAGAACCCCGACCUCAACCGGGAGCCCACCUCCGACACCGACGACGACCAGUGA
rnacentral:rRNA from 1 species